CCGCGAAUGGCUCAUUAAAUCAGCUAUGGUUUAUUGGAUCGUACCCGUUAAAUGGAUAACUGUAAUAACUCUAGAGCUAAUACAUGCCUCGAUGCUCUGACCCUGGCUGUUGCCUUGCGGCAGCGGCGAGUAGGGGAUGGGUGCACUUAUUAGAUCAGAAGCCAACCAGUCCGCCUACUGCACGCGUGUGUGUGUGUGUGUGUGUGUGCGGGCUGUGAGAGGAGACUUCUGGUGACUCUGGAUAAUUGUUACAGAUCGCAGUCGGCCUUGAGUCGGCGACGGGUCCUUCAAAUGUCUGCCCUAUCAACUGUCGAUGGUAGGUGAUCUGCCUACCAUGGUGAUAACGGGUAACGGGGAAUCAGGGUUCGAUUCCGGAGAGGGAGCCUGAGAAACGGCUACCACUUCCAAGGGAGGCAGCACGCGCGCAAAUUACCCACUCCCAGCACGGGGAGGUGGUGACGAAAAAUACCGAUGCGGGACUCCUUCAAGAGGCUCCGUAAUCGGAAUGAGUGGACUCUAAAUCCUUUCACAAGGAUCAAUUGGAGGGCAAGUCUGGUGCCAGCAGCCGCGGUAACUCCAGCUCCAAUAGCGUAUAUUAAAGUUGCUGCAGUUAAAAAGCUCGUAGCUGGAUCUCGGUGGCAUUGUUGCCUGUCGGUGGUUGAGCGGCUGGUGUGUGGCUAUUGUCGCGCGCGCUCUGACCGCCUCAGUCUGUGUGUGUGUGGGUGCGUGGAGCGUCAGUCAACUGCCGGUUGAUGGUGCGGGCGAGUGGGUGGGUGGGUGGGUGGGUGCGCGGACGGGUGGAGGGAUGAGUAAGUGAACGGCUGACUCGUUGGCUCGUUUGCCUGCCUGCUUGCCUGCCUGCCUGCCUGCUUGCGUGCAUUGUUGGCCGGUUGGGAGGCUGGUGCGCUCGCUCACACGCCGUGGGUUGGUUGUUGGAGUGGUGUUGUUGAUGUGGUCAUGAUGAAGCGCUGCCGUGUCAAGCCGACAAGGCGGUGGUGUCGCCUGUAAGCCAUGUCUGCAGUGUAGCAGCUGCAGGUGUGGGCGAGCGGUGGACGGUGCUGUGCACACACACACGUUGUGCAGCCUGUCAGCUCGUCUGCAUGCCUUUGGAUGCCCUUGAAAAGGUGUCUGCGGGCGGAUGGCACGUUUACUUUGAACAAAUUUGAGUGCUCAAGGCAGGCCGAUGUUGCCUGAAAAGUUUUGCAUGGAAUAAUGGAAUAGGACUUCGGUUCUAUUUCGUUGGUUUUCGGAUCCGAAGUAAUGAUCAAAAGAGACAGGCGGGGACGUUUGUAUGGCUGCGCUAGAGGUGAAAUUCAUGGACCGUAGCCAGACAAACUAAAGCGAAAGCAUUCGUCAAGCAUGUUUUCAUUGGCCAUGAGCGAAAGUCAGAGGCUCGAAGACGAUCAGAUACCGUCCUAGUUCUGACCAUAAACGAUGCCAACUGACGAUCCGUGGUGGUAGUCGUGUUACCUUCCCCACGGGCAGUCCCCGGGAAACCUUUAAGUGUUUGGGUUCCGGGGGAAGUAUGGUUGCAAAGCUGAAACUUAAAGGAAUUGACGGAAGGGCACCACCAGGAGUGGAGCCUGCGGCUUAAUUUGACUCAACACGGGAAAACUCACCCGGGCCGGACACUAUGAGGAUUGACAGAUUGAGAGCUCUUUCUUGAUUUGGUGGUUGGUGGUGCAUGGCCGUUCUUAGUUGGUGGAGCGAUUUGUCUGGUUAAUUCCGAUAACGAACGAGACUCCAGCCUGCUAAUUAGUGCAUUUGUCCACUGCACCUGUGAUGGUGGCGUUGGACGGUACCGAGUGCCGCGGGGCGUGCGUUUUGGCGUUGUCACUGCCGGUGCCGUGUGCCAUGCUGUGUGCAUGCGGUGCACGUCAUGCUGGUCCGUGUCGUGGGCUUUCUGCCGCUCGUCGUCGUCGUCGUCGUCGUCGUCGUCGCCGCCGUUGGCGGUGGCGGUGGCGGUGGUGGCGUCGUGGGCGCGAGGGUGGUGCGAGGGCAGCGCGAGGGCAGUUGAGUGUGGCGAUGGCGGUGGGAGUGUGUGAAGCGCAGGUCUUGUGGCUGGUGAGGCUGGCGCUGGCCUCCGGGUGUGGCGCGAAUGCUUACUUCUUAGAGGGACAAGCGGGAGAAGCCGCACGAAAUAGAGCAAUAACAGGUCUGUGAUGCCCUUAGAUGUCCGGGGCCGCACGCGCGCUACAAUGACGGUGUCAGCGAGUCAGACCUUCUGGCCCGAGAGGGUUGGGCAAACUGGUCAAUCACCGUCGUGACAGGGAUCGGGGCUUGGAAUUGUUCCCCGUGAACGAGGAAUUCCUAGUAAGUGCAAGUCAUAAGCUUGCGCUGAUUACGUCCCUGCCCUUUGUACACACCGCCCGUCGCUACUACCGAUUGAAUGGUUUAGUAAGGUCCUUGGAUUGGCGUCAUUGAGGCGGCAGUUGCCGGUGUCGCCGCCGCCGCCACUGCCGUGACGGUGGAGGGAGGG
rnacentral:rRNA from 1 species